CGUACACAGAAUAGCAGACGAAGCGAUAGACGGUAGCACCUUGUGGAAAAAGAACACGUUUUAAAAUUCAAGUGGAAAUUAAGAACAAACUUUCUUGUAACCUCAACGACCAGUCGCUUUGGUAAAUUGGAGUACCUGUAAAUUUUAUAUGACCUCUGAAAUGGAUGAGACAUCAAGUGAGCAAAUGACACCAGUCGAGAGAGACACGAACGAAAGAUUGGAAGUAGCAGAGAUUUACAGAAACAAGCACAAAGGACGCAAAUUUAAGAAUCCUCGUACUGCUCAUCGCAGUAUUUUCUCCACUUGCAUGGCAAGAUGUGAAAAUCAGCAACCGUUUUCUGGUCUUAAAACAUCCAACACCACAUUCCUUGAUGAAAUAGAUAGAAGAGGGAACUGUGAGAAUUGUGGGAGGUCAAGGAAAUUCUUUUGUUACACAUGUCAUAUACCUCUACCAGCAAUUAAAGAGUUAGUUCCUUAUAUUGCAAGCCUCCCAUGCCGUAUAGAUGUUAUCAAACAUCCAAAUGAACAUGACGGAAAAAGUACAUCUAUUCACGCUGCUGUAGUGGCCCCAGAAAUGGUGAAAAUAUUCACUUUCCCUAACUUCCCAGACUAUAGUAUUGAAGAUGGGGUGGUUCUAGUUUAUCCCUGCGACGGAGCGGUUCCUAUGACAACGAUGACGACUAGCCGGGCGGCUGAGAUCCAAAAAAUGGUCUUUAUCGAUUCAACAUGGGCUCAAGCCAAGCAGAUUUACAAGGAUCCACGUUUAAAAGCGCUUCCAUGUGUCGUUUUACGGACGCGGAAGUCUCUUUUCUGGCGGUAUCAACUGGGCAAACCAGACAGUUACUUGGCCACAAUCGAAGCUAUCUACGACGCUGUUGUUAGUCUGGACGAGCGCCGGCGUGGAUCGGAUGCUGAUGGAGGGAGCAGUUACGAUGGGAGCUACGAUAAUUUGCUCUUCUUUUUCCGCUAUUUCUAUGAGAAAAUGGAAGAUUUGUACUUUCACAAAUCACCAGCUGUCUGACAUGUGGAAUCUAUAUCGGUUGUGAACCGGGACAUUAUCGAUCCAUUACAUGGUCCGAAUUCAAAGUCUGUCUCUCUGUGAUUAAAAUGGUGUGCCAUUCACGUCUUCAUCAGUCGAAAGUAUUUCUGAUAAGGCAUGGGUUUCGUACUCUGGCAUUUGAGUCAAAAUUGGACAACCACUCGCAAUCUAUUAUUCGUUUCUAGGCUUCAAUUCUAUAUUUGUAGUUUACCCGGCUGAUUGUGGGCGAUUCAUUGCAGCGCGUGUUGACGACGUGCGGGUCUCGUGGGCGAAUGAAACUAUCGAAAAGAACAGCCAAUCCCUGGUCCAGGAGGAUAAAUCUCUUAAGCUGAUGCAAUAUGCUCUACAAAUUUUCUACUCGGCAACAUCAGACGAGGAAGGAGCGAGCACGAUCGCACUUUGAUCCGAGGCCCCCCUGCUGUGCAUGCAACACACAUCCGAGAGCAAUGUCUAAGAGAGAUCUACUUAGACCACGAACCAUCUGAUCAGCAGUCUUUGCCAGGCAAAACUCAUUGAGGCACUCGGAGUAUUUCAAAGGGAUGUCCAACGAUGGUUCAACCGUGUCCCUUAACUAGUGGAUUAUAGGAGUGAGGCAAACGGGACAACUUCUUUUACUGCCUUUAUUCUCGUUCUACUACUCAUCCCGAGUAAAACAAGUUUUCUCCGCCCAUCUUUUAUUUGGGUAUUUAUUUGUCGUCCCACCUACACGCCCAGCCUCUUCUGUCUCCUGGUUGUUUAAAAAUCCACUCAGCACAUCCCCUUCUACACCAAUUGAUCUUCAAGUUUCGUUACGUUACUGCAGAACGCGUCAAAGACUCGAGUCGCUUUCCGUGAUUCCGCCCACCCGAUUCUCGAUUUUUUAUCAACAACGGCGCGUCUAUUAUCAAUGCGGUGGCACGUGGCCGCACUCGCCGCCGUCUGGCUUAUUAUUAUGGGUUGGUGCGGUAGCGCAGUGAUGGGGCAGCCCAUCGCCGGAUCGAUGGAUCAGCCGCAUCCGCCACAUUAUCCUCCAGCCGGACAGACCAUUCCUGAAAUGUGGGCUCUAAUGGAUCCCGCGGACGGGCCCCCCGACACAAUUCGAGAUGGCGAUGAUUUAAAUGGUGACCUUUAUUAUUUCCCUGCUGUUCCAAUCAUGAAGAGACAACAAAGUUUAGACGACGAUUCCGGCUGGAUAUCCCAGGAUCGUUCGAAACGCCAGAGCCAAUCACACAGCGGCUCGUCCGGAAAUCAUCACUCGCAGUUAUCCAUCAUUAGUCCGAUUGAAGCUUUACGCAGUCGGCUCCGAUUGGAGAUGCUUCGCCGUCAAUAUGGCAACCAAAUCAAACAGAAUCAGGACAAGCUGGAAAGGGUCGGCAAACGCCGUAAGAGGAGCAACCAAUCUUCUCCUAUCGCCGUUGAUGGAUCGGAUGAGAAACGGAUGAGCCAGCCGUCGGUAGCACCAGCAGCGAUCAAAGCACCAUAACAUCUCUUGACCGGAACGGGCCAAGAGCUAACACAAACACACACCACGAGAUUUAGUACCUAGGAGACACACGGCAAGACUGGUAACCACUACAAAGAAACAGAGGGAACGCGACAAAACAUUUAUACAUACAAGGAUCAAGGAAUGAGGUUUUAAUUGACGAGGAUGAUCUUAUAUUUCUCCCAAAAUCCCUUACUUUCCCCAGACCCUUGAUAUUUGUUCUUGUUUUUAAUUAUAAUAUUGCACUGUGCCCCCUCUCCGGAAACAACGUCUUAAAAUUGACACACAGCCCUCCCUUAUUCUCCCAUUAUAUAUAUAUUGUAACGACACAUUUAAUUGAAUAUGCGCGCCCACCGCUCCUUGUGAAGAGAGAUUUGAAAAGACGACAAAAAAAAACAAGAAAUCCACCGACAGAUUUAUUACUUAUAUAAUAUUGUAAGCCUCCGUCAUUGUUGCUAACAUAAAAAAAAAAAUACGAUAUAUGUUAUCCCUCUUUGUGCUGAAUCAGUAUUUCACCCACACCGUAAUUAAAUGCUUUUCCUUUCGGUGUCUCUUUAUCCUACGAUAGUACAUGUUUAAAAUUCACAA
rnacentral:misc_RNA from 1 species